UUAAGCGACUAAGCGUACACGGUGGAUGCCCUGGCAGUCAGAGGCGAUGAAGGGCGUGCUAAUCUGCGAUAAGCGCCGGUAAGGUGAUAUGAACCGUUAUAACCGGCGAUACCCGAAUGGGGAAACCCAGUGUGACUCGUCACACUAUCAUUAACUGAAUCCAUAGGUUAAUGAGGCGAACCGGGGGAACUGAAACAUCUAAGUACCCCGAGGAAAAGAAAUCAACCGAGAUUCCCCCAGUAGCGGCGAGCGAACGGGGAGGAGCCCAGAGCCUGAAUCAGCAUGUGUGUUAGUGGAAGCGUCUGGAAAGGCGCGCGAUACAGGGUGACAGCCCCGUACACAAAAGCGCAUGUGCUGUGAGCUCGAUGAGUAGGGCGGGACACGUGGUAUCCUGUCUGAAUAUGGGGGGACCAUCCUCCAAGGCUAAAUACUCCUGACUGACCGAUAGUGAACCAGUACCGUGAGGGAAAGGCGAAAAGAACCCCGGCGAGGGGAGUGAAAAAGAACCUGAAACCGUGUACGUACAAGCAGUGGGAGCACCCUUUGGGGUGUGACUGCGUACCUUUUGUAUAAUGGGUCAGCGACUUAUAUUCUGUAGCAAGGUUAACCGUAUAGGGGAGCCGGAGGGAAACCGAGUCUUAAUUGGGCGUUAAGUUGCAGGGUAUAGACCCGAAACCCGGUGAUCUAGCCAUGGGCAGGUUGAAGGUUGGGUAACACUAACUGGAGGACCGAACCGACUAAUGUUGAAAAAUUAGCGGAUGACCUGUGGCUGGGGGUGAAAGGCCAAUCAAACCGGGAGAUAGCUGGUUCUCCCCGAAAGCUAUUUAGGUAGCGCCUCGUGAAUUUAUCUCCGGGGGUAGAGCACUGUUUCGGCUAGGGGGCCAUCCCGGCUUACCAACCCGAUGCAAACUGCGAAUACCGGAGAAUGUUAUCACGGGAGACACACGGCGGGUGCUAACGUCCGUCGUGAAGAGGGAAACAACCCAGACCGCCAGCUAAGGUCCCAAAGUCAUGGUUAAGUGGGAAACGAUGUGGGAAGGCCCAGACAGCCAGGAUGUUGGCUUAGAAGCAGCCAUCAUUUAAAGAAAGCGUAAUAGCUCACUGGUCGAGUCGGCCUGCGCGGAAGAUGUAACGGGGCUAAACCAUGCACCGAAGCUGCGGCAGCGACGCUUAUGCGUUGUUGGGUAGGGGAGCGUUCUGUAAGCCUGUGAAGGUGGCCUGUGAGGGUUGCUGGAGGUAUCAGAAGUGCGAAUGCUGACAUAAGUAACGAUAAAGCGGGUGAAAAGCCCGCUCGCCGGAAGACCAAGGGUUCCUGUCCAACGUUAAUCGGGGCAGGGUGAGUCGACCCCUAAGGCGAGGCCGAAAGGCGUAGUCGAUGGGAAACGGGUUAAUAUUCCCGUACUUGGUGUUACUGCGAAGGGGGGACGGAGAAGGCUAUGUUGGCCGGGCGACGGUUGUCCCGGUUUAAGCGUGUAGGUGUGUGUUCCAGGUAAAUCCGGUUCACUUUAACACUGAGGCGUGACGACGAGGCACUACGGUGCUGAAGCAACAAAUGCCCUGCUUCCAGGAAAAGCCUCUAAGCAUCAGGUAACAUCAAAUCGUACCCCAAACCGACACAGGUGGUCAGGUAGAGAAUACCAAGGCGCUUGAGAGAACUCGGGUGAAGGAACUAGGCAAAAUGGUGCCGUAACUUCGGGAGAAGGCACGCUGACAUGUAGGUGAAGUGAUUUACUCACGGAGCUGAAGUCAGUCGAAGAUACCAGCUGGCUGCAACUGUUUAUUAAAAACACAGCACUGUGCAAACACGAAAGUGGACGUAUACGGUGUGACGCCUGCCCGGUGCCGGAAGGUUAAUUGAUGGGGUCAGCGCAAGCGAAGCUCCUGAUCGAAGCCCCGGUAAACGGCGGCCGUAACUAUAACGGUCCUAAGGUAGCGAAAUUCCUUGUCGGGUAAGUUCCGACCUGCACGAAUGGCGUAAUGAUGGCCAGGCUGUCUCCACCCGAGACUCAGUGAAAUUGAACUCGCUGUGAAGAUGCAGUGUACCCGCGGCAAGACGGAAAGACCCCGUGAACCUUUACUAUAGCUUGACACUGAACAUUGAGCCUUGAUGUGUAGGAUAGGUGGGAGGCUUUGAAGUGUGGACGCCAGUCUGCAUGGAGCCGACCUUGAAAUACCACCCUUUAAUGUUUGAUGUUCUAACGUGGACCCGUAAUCCGGGUUGCGGACAGUGUCUGGUGGGUAGUUUGACUGGGGCGGUCUCCUCCUAAAGAGUAACGGAGGAGCACGAAGGUUGGCUAAUCCUGGUCGGACAUCAGGAGGUUAGUGCAAUGGCAUAAGCCAGCUUGACUGCGAGCGUGACGGCGCGAGCAGGUGCGAAAGCAGGUCAUAGUGAUCCGGUGGUUCUGAAUGGAAGGGCCAUCGCUCAACGGAUAAAAGGUACUCCGGGGAUAACAGGCUGAUACCGCCCAAGAGUUCAUAUCGACGGCGGUGUUUGGCACCUCGAUGUCGGCUCAUCACAUCCUGGGGCUGAAGUAGGUCCCAAGGGUAUGGCUGUUCGCCAUUUAAAGUGGUACGCGAGCUGGGUUUAGAACGUCGUGAGACAGUUCGGUCCCUAUCUGCCGUGGGCGCUGGAGAACUGAGGGGGGCUGCUCCUAGUACGAGAGGACCGGAGUGGACGCAUCACUGGUGUUCGGGUUGUCAUGCCAAUGGCACUGCCCGGUAGCUAAAUGCGGAAGAGAUAAGUGCUGAAAGCAUCUAAGCACGAAACUUGCCCCGAGAUGAGUUCUCCCUGAGACUUAAAGUCUCCUGAAGGAACGUUGAAGACGACGACGUUGAUAGGCCGGGUGUGUAAGCGCAGCGAUGCGUUGAGCUAACCGGUACUAAUGAACCGUGAGGCUUAACCUU
rnacentral:rRNA from 1 species